rnacentral:rRNA from 1 species
AGAGUUUGAUUAUGGCUCAGGACGAACGUUGGCGGUGCGCUUAAUGCAUGCAAGUCGAGGGAGAAGCAGUUGGUCCGUAAGGAUCGGCUGUGGAAACCGGCGAACGGGUGCGUAACACGUGAGAAACCUGCCCCGAAGACCGGGAUAGCCCGGGGAAACCCGGAUUAAUACCGGAUACCUUCACGGAACCACAUGGUUCUGUGAAGAAAUGGUCCGCCGCUUCGGGAUGGUCUCGCGGCCUAUCAGGUUGUUGGUGAGGUAACGGCUCACCAAGCCGAAGACGGGUAGCUGGUCUGAGAGGACGAUCAGCCACACUGGGACUGAGACACGGCCCAGACUCCUACGGGAGGCAGCAGCAGGGAAUAUUGCACAAUGGGCGAAAGCCUGAUGCAGCGACACCGCGUGCGGGAUGAAGGCCCUCGGGUUGUAAACCGCUUUCAGGAGGGAAGAAAAUGACGGUACCUCCAGAAGAAGCCCCGGCCAACUACGUGCCAGCAGCCGCGGUAACACGUAGGGGGCAAACGUUGUCCGGAUUUAUUGGGCGUAAAGGGCUCGUAGGCGGUUCAACAAGUCGAUCGUGAAAGCCCGGGGCUCAACCCCGGGAUGCCGGUCGAAACUGUUGUGACUAGGGUCCGGUAGAGGUCAUUGGAAUUCUCGGUGUAGCGGUGAAAUGCGCAGAUAUCGAGAGGAACACCAGUAGCGAA